rnacentral:lncRNA from 9 species
AGACGGGACUUUGUCCAGGACGAGCAAAGGGAGAGAGAACUUAGGAAGAGAACGCAACUGCCCGAGAGAAGCCGUGUUGCAUGUCUGUUUCUUGAAGACGAAUGCAACUUCUUACCCCGUAGAAUCUUCUGCAAAAAGUUUUAGACCAGAUGCUGACGACGGGCACCGUGUCAGUCGUGCUUUCAAGGAUGGACCGUCCACACCGCCACACAACCGAGGGCCCAGCGUGUCUGGAGGAUCUUCCACUGGCUGGGCUCCGAGUGGGAGGCAGGGGCCGCCCGGCUCCUUGUCCGAGUCGCUCCCCCGCUGCCCCCAGCCUCAGGGCUUAAGGUAGUGCUUGCCUCGGUUGAUGCUUGGGAAAUAUUUACUCAGUGGCUGCGCUGACUCUGUUCUCUGUCCCACUCGCUUCAACUCCAAAGUCCCAGGCGAUGCAGGGACGCGCUGCAUGACGACGCCUCACGUCCUGACACUCCUGAGUUUAGACUCAGAUGGAGACCCAAGGGCGGCGCGCCUCUGGGCCUUCUCGCCUGACCCGGCCCAGCUGGCGCCCGCAGGCCCGGCCUUGGCUCCUUUCAGGUCUUGAGGGUCUUGUCACCCAUCACUCCACGAGCCUGGACCUGUUCCUGUUCCCACGUCGCUGGCUUGUCUGCCAUAAGCUGGGAGGCAGCGCCGUUCAGCACCCUCCCCCUCCUUUGUUGGUAGCUCUGAAUCCCCGUGGGAUCCCAGUCGGCUGCUGGCUCCUGUCCCCUGGGGCAGAAGCUGACCCCAGGGGGUGCAUGUCCACUGUGGGACCUGACACCCGUCCUCCUCUGGGAACCAGGAAGUCCACUGCCUCGUGUGUUUUGAGAAAAACAAAACAAAACACAAAAACACCAACCGAUGAUCCAGAGAGCUUUGCUGGCAAGUCCUUUGAGCAAUAUUGUUCUCACCUAUUUAGCUGUUAAAUUCGUAACUUGAUCAGGCCUUCCAAACAGAGCCUCCCCUGCCUGCUGGGUUUGAUCCUGAACUCAGAUUGACCGCUGGUGAUCUCCUGUGGGGCCGUGUAAACAAGCCGCGGGGACCCAGCUCUGUGACAGCAACGGCCUCAGAGCCAAGUUCACGUCUCACCCUGUUCACAGCGCUGAUCAGGUUGGAGCAAGGCCUCAACAUCAGCCGUAACCCAGUCCCCAGGGCCCUGCCAGGCGCCCACGAGCCCUCCUAGGAGGCUUGAACCCAGCGUGGCCGAGCUGAAGAGUCCUCGCGUGGGUCAGCCUGACGUGGGGACCGGGGACAGGGGUGCCCUUUAGAACCUGAAACGCCAGGUGCAGGCUGGGAUCGGCGGUCCCUCGCCAGCUGUUCUGUGAUGCUGAGGGACAGACAGGAAGACAUCCCCACCCCGACGUGAGUGAAUGAAUUAUUAAACAGCAUAGCACGGUCGAUACAGUGCUGAUGCUGUUUCCUUGUAGAUAUUUCUGGAGCUUGCUUCAAUAUUUAAUUCAACCUCAAACUGCAGGUCAUUAGUAAAUGUAACUCCGGGCUUCCACAGGAUGCAGCUUGUGUUCUGUGGUCACUGCAGAGGGACGAAUCCUGGAUGCAGCUCCCGGUCCUCAAAGGGGAGGGCAGGGGGCCUGCUCCCUCCUCCUCUGUCUCCUUCAGAGCACACGCCGCUUACUUCGCCGCCCGGCUCUUGCACCGAUGAAUUGCCAAGGAGUGUGGCGCGGCAGGGUCUGUGCUGGAGGUUGUAAGAAACGGGAUAUUAUGCGGAAGUGCUGUGUCCCUGCUUCCUGUUAUUAGCAUGAAAAAAUGAGACCAAAAAAGAGAGAGCAAAGCAGGUGUUUUCCGUGUUACUGAGGAUGAGAUAGGCUCCCGCCCAGGGGGCGAGGAGGGACUUGGCUGUAUUUUUUCACCCAAAGCAAGAAACCCCCUUUUAAAAGUGACUGGAUCGCCCCACUGGGCGCCUGGGUGGGCCGCCCCCUCCGAGGCCCAGGAGGACUGGCCCGUGUGUCUGAAUGUCGCUUGGAAAUAAGAUCUUGUGAUUCCUCCUCUGCCUGGGCCGCUCUGAUGCAGCUGCCGCCUCGCCUCAAAAUGGUCCUCGAGCCCAGCGAGGCCGGCGCCCCUUCCGGCCUUGCCCAGGCCCCGCCGCCGCCCCGCCCCGUCCAGGCCUCGCCCCGUCCAGGCCUGGUGAGGGCUGGGCAGGCAGGCAGAGCAAGUUGCUGCCCAGCUAGGGUCAGGGCUGGGGGGCUGGCAGUUUUGUGGUUCAGCGGGGGGCCUGGCCACUGCCGGGCUGCUCGCAUCGCCCACGUGGCCGUGGUGUGCUCACUGCCCCGCUCUGUAGGCGCACAGCCUAACCGGCCUGCUUUGUACGAAUUGUGUACAGGAUUUUCUUCCCUUUAGAUGAAGAAGGAGUUGAUCUUUUGGCUUUGUGGGAGGUCGGAAUGAGUUAAUGAAGAGCAAACUCCAAUUUUCAAAAAAGUGCAUGGUGACAGUCACAUAACUCACUCAAGAAUUUUCUGUAUCUGGUUCCUAAACAGGAUACAUUACAGAGGCCGUAAAAUACUUCUGAUCAAAUCCGGUGUCAGGAGUCGGUGAUCUUUAGCGGUGACGGAAAGCCUGUGGAAAAGAACCGACUCAUGAUUUUAGCCCAGGAAUUUUGUUCCUUUCCCGUUGUUUUGAGGGUCUAUGGGUCAAAAAUAAUGAGAAAGCAGAAUCUCCCUUGUUAAACAAGUUACAAAGGAAGCUAUGGGACUUCUAGAGCAGGUCACCCUGUCUUAGGAAUAUUCUUUCCUGCCUGAAAGUAAAACUGGUGCCAGGCUCACACCAAUGUGAGGGCCUGAGGGUCUGUGUGCUUCCUAACUCAAGAGAAAAGAACUUUUUGCAGGAGAAUAUUUGCAAAUAAAGGAGUGAGAACAGUGGGGGGGGGUGUUCUAGAUGGAAAGAGAUGAGAGACUUAACAGCAAAAUGUAAGGCCUGCGUCUUGACUGGGUUUCGAGGUCAGAGGCACUGGGACGGGAUGUCAGAUGGCACGAAGGAGCUGCCUGCGACAGCAGGGUGGCUCUGAUGGCGUGAGAGAUGCAAGGUGAGCGGCCACUUCUGCAUGAAAUGGAGCAGCAAAGCCAAGCAAAUAGAUUGGUCUAGGCGAUGGUUAUUUUUUCCAAACUUCCUCCCUAUUUGAAACGCUUCGUGAUGAAAAUUACCUGACAAAGAACCAUAUGAGCAGAUGCCUGGUUGAUGGGCUGGCCUCCCUCUUCUGGGUCCAGAGCCUCGGCAGACGCCCAGCUCUCUGCGGCUGUUCUGUGGUGGAGUGCGGAGUGGCCAGGGGUGGCUGUGGGUCCAGGGCCCAGCCAGGGCUCUUUGAUGCCCACGCUCGGGCACUUGGGGACCAUCCCUGUGUAGGUUCUGUCCUUGGUCUGGCUUCCUCUUCGUGAUGUGGUGUGUACAGCUCUGGUCUUUCUGGGGAAAAGGGGCUUUGGAGACCGUCGCUUUGGAACAGGAAGGGAGCCCUUCGGCGUUUGAUCUGGCGACGAUGAAAGCGAGCGCUGACUCGGGGCUUCUCUGUGCCAGGCCCUGAUGGUUUAGGUGCCCUGGCUUUGAUGUAUGGCGUGGUACACGUGGGCCCGCGGACAGGGGCAUCUUGUGGACAAGGGGCCAGCGGAGACCACGGCCAAGAUGCGGCAGCGCCUGCUGAGGGCCUGGUGACCUUGGCAGUGACCUCCACUUGAAAUAGACAAAUAGCAAGAAGGAUUGGCAUAAGGACAGGCGGGAUUCAGGUGCCAGCUGCCCAGGGUCUAGGUGAUGUAUAGGCAGGUGUUCGCUGGGCAGUCAUUCAGUCUGGCUGAGUCUAAGAGGUUCCUGUGUGUUGGGGAGACCCUUAAAAGAGGCAGGACUGAGAUUCCGGCCAAGACAGCGGGGCUCUGGGGUCAGGUUCCUGGCCCUGUGUGACGCUGCCUCCUGCUGCCACUGCGGGAGGAGCUGGACCCCAGACACUGAAGGGACUUGACCGAAUCCUUGCUGCAAAGCAUCACAGAGUGGAUGGAAAGGGACACGUUCCAGGCCACCCUCCCUGAGGGAAGGGACCUGCCAGGUGUCUGGAGAGGAGCGAGGACGGUGUCCCCACUGCCAGGUGAGCGCCCGGCGCCUCGAGGCAGCAGCCAGACAGCAGCCCUGUCAUGCUGGGUCUGUGUUUGGUCACAGGACCGGCCUCCUCUGGACAUCGGGCCUCUGACCGAGGUGCCGUCUGCCCACGCCUCGCUCGCUGUCACCCUGUCCUCUUCGCCGGGUCAGAACUCUGUCCUUCACCUUCGGGCCUGAGUUCCGGCCUAUUGAGCUGCACGGGAAAUUUUCACCCUUGCGUUUAAAUAUCUUCUGGCUUCACUUCUAUUUUUAACACCUUGGAAGCACAGAGCACUUUCCGCAGAUGGGGCCAGGCGCCCGCAGACAUUGUCUGAUGAAUCUUCCCAGCCGGCUGGGGGCGGGGGCGGCUAUUGCUGCCAGGGGUCCGCGGAAGGAAAGCAGUGACCCCGGGGGCUUUGAUGACUCUGCCGGGGUCUCAGUGGACGAGGAGGAUGGGGGCAGGGCAUCGCACGGCAGACCUUCCAUCCUGAGCCCCCUUCUAGGAAACAGACGCUGCGUCUGGUCGGGGGUGCUGUCUCAGUGGCUGGGGGACCACGGCCACCAUGGCUGCCGUCUGCCUUACUGAUGGGGAGACUGGACAAGUAGGAGCUGGUACCAGGUCACAAAGCUCAUUGAUAGUGAAGCCUCCUGCAGGGUCCUGGGCCCUGGGGCCCUGGAAUUCUGCUUCCGGGUGGUUACUGGUCUUAUUUCCUAUGAAGCCACACUAAUCCACACGCAUAACCCUUCUUUGGGGACCAUGCAAGCCUUUCUGGGCCCAGGGCAGGUCUGCCUUUCAGGAAAAUCUGCUGGGAAGGCGUCCCUCUAGCCGGAUGACCAAGGUAAGUCUGCUCCCAGUGUGAGCGCAGGCAGCGCGGGGCGGAGAAGCUGCACAGGUGGAUCCCGCGGCCCAGGUCGACCCGGAUAGAAAGAGGCACCUGUAGGCAGAUCUCAGGGGCCUGGCUGCUUCCCACCUCUGCCUGGGCUUCUGGGGUGGGCAGGCACCUAUGCUCUCCUCGUGUCAGGCCCAGGGCCCAGUGUGCUGUUUCUGGGCUCCCUCAGCACCUGUGGGGCUUUGGGGGGGCACCCCAAGAGGAGGGCCUCUCUAGGAGAUCUGUUACCGCUGCGUGUGGGUCCAGCUGGACACCUGGCAGAGCUCAGACUGCAGACUCGAAGGAGGCCCUCGGCCCUGAGCACAAGAUGUUUGCUCCGAAGAUGUUUACGGAAAAGAAACCCGGCCAUGCACGGGCUCCCGGUUCCGUUGGAGCCGAUGCGUUCCCCACGGGGCUUUCUCAUUUAUCUUCUAGAUACCACGUCUGUCAGGAGGAUUUGGUGGGGGGGUGCGUCAAGCUUUAUUGCCUUGUUUGUUAUCAAUCCAUCUCCCUAUCCAUCCAUUCAUUUAGCCGCUGUGUCAUCUCCCCUUUCUAACCACACCCGUGCACCAGGGCAGAGACCGGAUUAACACACGUCUAUCACUGCCCGGAGCUCGGCGACCGAGCCACUGGGGACCCAUUUGCUGAUGAUGUAAUAACCCUCUAUAAGUCCGUGGCCUCAGACACCAGCUGCCACGGCGACCCUUGCCUGCCCUGAAUGCGUCACUCACGCCAGCCCAGGCCCCACGCCGGCCCCUCUGCCUCCCAGGCGGCCCCUUCGGGAACCUCAUUUUCACAGGCUCUUGCGUUCCUUUUGCUGUGGUUUCAUCCAUGUGUGGUCCUAAAAGUGAGAGUGUGUGUUUUUAAUCUCGCACAGCGGUACCGCCCUUCUGCAGGGUUUCCGGCCUGACACGUUCACUUAUGAAGGUGCCAUUUCCCCCGUUGCCAUGUCCUGCUCCGGUUCAUCUGUUCUCACGCCGCUGCACAAGCACAGGGCCUGGAUGUCACCCUACCUGCUUUGACGCUGGCCCGCAGGGCCUCAGAUCCAGUGCGAGGACACGCUGAAUGUGGGAGACCGAGGGACACAGGCUCGCACACUCUAAGGUCCUGUCGCUAAUGGGAGAGAAACAGCUCUAAGAAAGUACACACAUUAAGCUUCAUCCAUCCAUUAUAUACGAAAGAAAAUGAAUUUAUCUGCUUUUUACCACUUUUCCAGAUGCCCCCCUGAGGCUGCGCUGGAGGAAGGAAUUCGGUCACAACUCUGGCCUGCUGAGAAGCUGCUCAAAGCCUCCCAGGCCUCCCCCGGGAGACAAAUGGGGUCUCUUGGAGGAGGGGCCCACGUGGGGAUGGAGGUCCUUGUCGUCCACAGCCGCAGACCGUGUGCCUCUGGCCUCCAACGCGAGCAAGCUGGGCACCACGAGCAGGCUAGAAGGGAGGCUGGGAAGCUGGCAGGGACACAGUGACAGUGCCCUGUGCUUGCUGUGCCACACAGGGGUCACAGUGGAGUGCAAGGCCCCUGUGCAUGCCCCCACAGCCAUCUGAGGGGGCGGUGCAGACCAAGCUUGAGGGCAGACCAGCACUUCUGCUCUCUGAUCCUCCCACUACAGGGAGCCCUGAGCCCGAGCGGGCGGAGGGAAGAGCUCGGCCUCUCCUUGGGCACAGCUCGCCCAGCCAGUCCUGGACCACCAGCGAUGCUGUCCCCUCACUGCAGGGGGUUCCUGUUUGCUGCAGCUGAAAGCAUCCUGACUCUACAGCUGCUGCGUCUUUGCACCCAUCUCAGUCUUAAAAUAAAAAGGGAAACCCAGUUUUGC